ensembl:lncRNA
UGAAAAGGGCUCAUUGCGGUUACUUUUUUUCAAAUGAGUGCCGGGAUGGAUAUUUUCAGAGUUCUGCAUAUGGUGGACAGCCGGACCCUUGGCAAGCCGAGGAGAAGCAUGGCAGACGGCAGAGUUUUUAAUCUAUCUGUCUGUCUCCUCUCUGUUAUUAACCUCACGCCCUGACAGCCUGCUCCCUGUGACACUGACCUGCUUCACCUAAUGAGCUACCAAUUACUACAAAUUAGGCAAGAGAGAGGCCACCGCUAUCAUCCACUCUAUACACUCUUCUCAACAGUUCUGUGGGAUUUGGAUGUAGCGGGACGCUCAGGUCGAAUUGAUAACGAGGAACACACAAAACACCGUGCCGGUGACUAGCAUUUCUGGAGGUGUGAUGUUCACAAAUGAUGCUGUUAACAUUGUGUAUCUGUUGCCGUGCUGUGCAGUUGGUGCUGUGCCUUGGUGCUUUAGCCUGGCACCUCUGGUGAGUUUCAAAGAUCAUUUGUAUUAGCACCUGCUCCUGCUGGUUGUGUGUGUGUGUGUGUGUGUGUGUGUGUGUGUAUGUGUGUGUGUGUGUGCGUGUGUGUGUGUGUCCUGCUGUCUCUGCGCUCCCUUUUGCCAGGAGGUUUCCAACAGCUCUUGUGUUAAUAGUGGGCUAUCCGCUUCAACGGCAAAGAACACUUGUUAUCUGCUUUAUGGGGAAAACUCCAGGGAUCCUGCAACCCGCAGAUAUUCAUCUACGGCACAGGUACAGUAAAUAAUGGGUAUAAAGAAAGCACACUUAAUGCAUUCUUUUCACAUUAUUCAUUAUUCACAUCUACACUGGUUGGUAAAAACGCAGGUACAUUUUCUUUGGCUUGUUUUGGGGUAAAUAGUAUAGUACAGAAUAGGACUGAAAAAAUAAAGCACAGCUCGUGAGGUGAAACGAAAUCCAACGUUGAGCAUCGAGUAACAUGCCCCAUGUCAUCUGACUGCAGAUAUAUCCGAUGGUUAUCAAGCUAUCUCGCUGUGUUCUGUUAACCUCAGCCUGCUCACACUGAGGACUCUUUGCUGCACACCGACAGCUUGAUCAAUAGGUCAGCGUGCUGACAGCAGUCCUCGGGGCCCUGGUAGAGGCAGAGGCUGGCUUGGUUGAGGAAGGGGGUAGUUUACGGUGAUCAUGUAUCCCGCAGACACCAGGAGUACCUUGGCAGAGUGAUAAAAAAAAAAACACAAAACAUCCAUUUAAUAGAUGACCCCAACCCAAACCACCUACUUUGGCUCGUACCUUUAUGCCAAAACCUGAACUGACAAGCCUGCAAAAAAAAAAGGUGUUGGGAGAACACGAUGAGAUCCUUCUUUCUUUCUCUGCGUAUUAUCAGCCACAUCUCGAUAUGAUGUAUUUACUCUACACUACUCUAUAAAACCUGUAAUCUUUGCUUAUCUUUGACCAUCAGCAGCUUAUGUUGUGUAAAUUACUAAACACAUCUUGAAUUAUUCCUACUCGUGUGUUAUUACACGGCCGGAGCAUCACCUUCACGACAGACAAAUAAAGUAUUUUUUAGGCACAUGGGAGAUGCCGGGACAGAUAACCUCCCAUUUACAUUCAAACAGAGCUUUUGGCAAAGCCUUAGCAACAGGGUCCUUAAUCAGCGGGCUGGCUGCGCAUCCCAGACCUGACUUCUCCUCUUCUCUCUUUACAGCCGUGAUCUUGAGAAGGAGCUUUAAAUUGGAAAUUAUUACACAUUAAACCCUCUGCGCGCAGGCCACGAUCGAACUGGAUCAAUAUGUUGCCCGGCACAAUAAAUCAGACGCUUUCUCUCCCCUGCUCUCUUUCCCCCCUUUUUGCUUUUUCAAGUGGCUAUAGGCCACUGCUCUACUGGAACAUAUUUAAAUUUUCUUGUAACAAAUUAAUUCCAACAUUUUCUCUUGAUUGAAUUAGGCCAAGUGCUGGUGCUGUCACAAGUGUUUGGGCCGCUCCUGGGGAGAGACAAAUUGCCAGGCCUGGACAUGGGUAACAAGCGGUGGUGUUGAGUCGCUGAUAAUCUCCCCACUAAUUCUCCAUUACAGCAAAAUGAGGCCAUAAAUCUUCCUGACAGCUGAUCGAUGUAAACAUUGUUUCCCCCAUGAUUGCCAGCUCUCCCAGCGGAGGUACUGUCCGCUCACAAUCCGCUGAAAUUACUCCCGCUUUCCAGCCCUCCCUCCUUCCUUCUCCUCCUGCCUGGAACUGGUGUGUGUGCACGUCGGACUGGCCUGGCGGGGGAAACCAAAGUCACUGCUGUCCUGUCUUGGUGGACAUCUAAUUUUAGCUCAAAGCCUGCUAAACAAAUGGAAAAUAUUAAUCAAAAUGUCUCCUGUUUAACCAGUGGCAGUAGCAAUUCUUUAUCGAGGGAUGAUUGCUGUACUGUCAUUUGGUCACAUGGUGCUGCAGGUUGAAUGAAAUGAAAAAGUCUGUUGAGGAAUGAAGGAAAGAAGAAAUAGAGGGUACAACAUGCAGUCAAAAUGAUUUCUUUUCUAAAUGCAGCCAUCACUCCUGCUUUUUACGCCCGCAAUGACAUUAGGCAGAGUAAACGGCAGUGAAAGAUUGAGUUGUCAAACAGUCAAAGCACAAGGCUCGUUAUCAGCGUGUUCACUGUCUGAUAAUAUUCUACACCAUUAUUAAAAUCCAAUAUGCAUGCAAUUACAGAGACAGUGAUGCUGUUAGAACGGGAUGUCUGGCUGUAAUCACAGACGAAGGCCAUUUUAAGACAUGGCACUUUAGGAAACCUACCAAAAUGGCAUGCAUGAAGCAUUUUGGGCUGCAUAUUUUAUCCACAUAAAGCAAACUUCGCUCUGAGAAAGCACAGUUGGCCUGCACGCUCAUUUUACAACUGAUCUGAAACGAUUCCCUUUAAACAACACUUUGAUGACAAAACUCAAUUUUACAGUGACGAAACAUAUCAUCACACCUUCACUCAUCUCCAGUGGAUUUUGUAAUCCUUUUGACUUCAUGAUGAAAUACACAGGGACGAUUUAUGAACUUGCAGUAAGUGUAGCACAUAACCAUAACAAACGAUGGACAACUUGAAUGCCCCCAAAAGUAAAACCACAACAUUUUUAUUUUAUUGAUUGAUUUGUUGUACUUAUAUCUUCUUUGUUUUUCAGCCUCCCAAACAAAAAUAUGUUCCUGACGGGGCAAAGGAAAGUGUCACUACGGCUUAAACCACCAGUUUAUGACGUUUGGCUAAAACUAAUGCAGUCUAAUACAAUUGCCUUGCAGUAAUUACUUACUUACCAGUGACCCAGUGUUAGUGUGGUUAUUCAUAUUAGUUCACCAACACAUUUCCAAUUCAAUUUUAUUUGAUACCUUGUUACAGUGAAAUGGGGUUACAAACUAGUAUUUGUAAAAGAAAAAAAGAAGAAAGAAAAAGCUCUCGCUUAGCAUAUCGUGGGGUAUUGCAGUGCAAUAUAAUUGUUGAAUAGAGUUCAUCUGCCCUGGUAUGCAAAUUAAAAUUAACUUUUGUUUAACAUUCUGCAAAAUGUCCCUAAGCGUGUUUCAGAUACUUUCGCCGAUCUCUUUGAAAUCUCAAUUUCAGAUUUCCUCCACUGUGCAGCUAAUGUACAGCCUGUCUUCUCUCUCUGCACUCAGUCCACUUUGGCUGCCAGCAUAUGAGUUCUGUGACCACGGAGCACCCAGGAGGCGUCGCGACAGACCGGGGCGACGUCUUGCGAUGGCUCUAAAGGUUAUUCGGGCCAGCACUCCAUUGCAAUGGGUCCCUGUCUGGCUCUGUCACUGCCAUUAUGACUUCAUCACCCUCGAGAGGAGAGGAAGAGAGUGAAAGAAAAAGCAGUUUGCACUCAUCCGUCACUGUCCAUCUCAAAUUACACCUCAACCAAUCACCGGUCGAGGAUCAAUAGGGAGCGGCUGGGCGGGUUGGGGAGGGAUGAUCAGAGGACGGGAGGGACUGAAGAUGCCUGAUGAAAGACAGAAGAAUAACUGAUCAAUACGAAAGGAUGGAUUUUGUCAUUUUGAAAAGGGCUGUCAGAGGGUCGUUCACUCCCACCUGCUCACAGCUAUAUCCUCCAACUCCGGCUGCAGAUGACACAUCGGUCCAUCACAUC